AGGAUGAACGCUGGCGGCGUGCUUAACACAUGCAAGUCGAACGGUGGCAGCAAUGCCAUAGUGGCGCACGGGUGAGGAACACGUAGCUGAUCUGCCCUCUCGCGCGGGAUAACGUUUCGAAAGAGAUGCUAAUACCGCAUAAGCUUCCAGACUUUAGAGGUCCGGGAGAAAAGGGGAAACUCACGAGAGGAAGAGGCUGCGGCCCAUCAGGUAGUUGGGGGGUAACGGCCCACCAAGCCAACGACGGGUAGGGGACCUGAGAGGGUGACCCCCCACACUGGGACUGAGACACGGCCCAGACUCCUACGGGAGGCAGCAGUGAGGAAUAUUGCCCAAUGGACGCAAGUCUGAGGCAGCGACGCCGCGUGGGUGAUGAAGGCCUUCGGGUCGUAAAGCCCUUUUCUGCGUGACGAGACAAGGACGGUAGCGCAGGAAAAAGUCUCGGCUAACUACGUGCCAGCAGCCGC
rnacentral:rRNA from 1 species